AUUGAACGCUGGCGGCAGGCCUAACACAUGCAAGUCGAACGAGUGGCGGACGGGUGAGUAAUGUCUGGGAAACUGCCUGAUGGAGGGGGAUAACUACUGGAAACGGUAGCUAAUACCGCAUACCAUCGGAUGUGCCCAGAUGGGAUUAGCUAGUAGGUGGGGUAAAGGCUCACCUAGGCGACGAUCCCUAGCUGGUCUGAGAGGAUGACCAGCCAAACUGGAACUGAGAAACGGCCCAGACCCCAAGGGGAGGCAGAAGUGGGGAAUAUUGCAAAAGGGGGGAAAGCCUGAGGCAGCCAUGCGGGGGGUAUGAAGAAGGCUUUCGGGUUGAAAAGUACUUUCAGCGGGGAGGCGUUACCCGCAGAAGAAGCACCGGCUACUUCCGUGCCAGCAGCCGCGGUAAUC
rnacentral:rRNA from 1 species